CUUAGAGGGACAUUCCGGCCCAAGGACUUACUAACUGGGUGACCUUGGGGCGAGAAUGUAGUCAUAGUUCCCUAAGCUUUAUGGGAAGAAGCUCAGAUCCACUCUUGCAGCGGGACACCGUGAGACAUCACUCCCAAGUGCAGAGGAACGGGUCAGUUCAUUUCAUAGACUCAAAUUACGGAUCCUUCAGAGGGUGAUGGGAAAGUUCCCUUUGCCCCGACAAUGUGUAUGCCCAGAGAAAAGACCAUGGCAGGACACAGCAAGAAGUCAGCCAUCUGAAAGCCAAGAAGAGAGGCCUCGGCAGAAGCCAAACCUGCCAACACCUUAAUCUUGGACUUCCGGUUUCCAGAACUUUGAGAAAAUACAUUUCUGUUGUUUAA